CGGCAGUUUCUCUGGCGCCAGCACUGCUGCGGCUCAGAGGCUCUGAGCUUCUCCUGGGAGCCGGCAGCACUAAAAAUACCUCCUGCCUUCCUCCGAAAUAGCUGCAGGGCAAGGAGCGGAUGGAGGGGGCUUGGAGGACCCCGCGCUAAGGGGCCUGUGUGGAGGUGGAGGAGUAAAACAAGUAUAGGGGAAGAAAGAGGGUGGGUCACGGGCACCCCAAGACCAGCAGUAGGAAUGCAGUGCUGAUGGUCUCCAGUUGGAUGCACCAAUGUGUCUUUGUGGUGGGAUAACCAUAGUUGCAGCCCCCUGCUCCUAGGGAGACGUGCACCCCCCUGGCUUUCACCCCGCCCUUGCACCGUUCCAUUGCUCUGACAGCAGCUGGAUCCAGCAGAUAUUUCUCAGCUGACGGCAGUUCCCUGUGCGACUGGUGCCAGCGAGCUGUGGAGAUGUGGCCUUUCCCUGGAAUGAGGAAUGCGUCAAGGAAAGUGCGGUUGCAUAUACUUAUGAACAUAUGGAGGCCCUGGAGUCACACCACAUGGUUUGCCACUAAUUGAAACGGGC
ensembl:lncRNA